UGGGAUCACUCCGGGAAACCGGGGCUAAUACCGGAUGCUUGAUUGAACCGCAUGGUUCAAUUAUAAAAGGUGGCUUUUACCUACCACUUACCCAUGGACCCACGGCGCAUUAGCUAGUGGGUGAGGUAACGGCUCACCAAGGCCCCAAUGCGUAGCCGACCUGAGAGGGUGAUCGGCCACCCUGGGACUGAGACACGGCCCAAACUCCUGCGGGAGGCAGCAAUAGGGAAUCUUCCGCAAUGGACGAAAGUCUGACGGACCAACGCCGCGUGAGUGAUGAAGGUUUUCGGAUCGUAAAACUCUGUUGUUAGGGAAGAACAAGUACCGUUCGAAUAGGGCGGUACCUUGACGGUACCAAACCAGAAAGCCACGGCUAACAACGUGCCAGCAGCCGCGGAAAUACCUAGGUGGAAAGCGUAGUCCGGAAUUAUUGGCCGAAAAGCGCGCGCAGGCGGUUCCUAAAGUCUAAUGUGAAACCCCCCGGCUCAACCGGGGAGGGACAUUGGAAACUGGGGAACUUGAGUGCAGAAAAGAAGAGCGGAAUUCCACGUGAAACGUUAAAAGGCCUAAAGAUGUGCAGGAACACCAGUGGGCAAGGUGACUCUAUGGUCAGUAACUGACGCUAAGGCGCGAAAGCUUGGGGAGCAAACAGGAUUAGAUACCCUGGUAGUCCACGCCGUAAACGAUGAGUGCUUAGUGUUAGAGGGUUUCCGCCCUUUAGUGGGCCAGCAAACGCAUUAAGCACUCCGCGGGGGGAGUACGGUCGCAAGAAAGAAAAUCAAAGGAAUUGGGGGGGGCCCGCACAAGGGGUGGAGCAUGUGGUUUAAUUGGAAGCAACGSGAAGAACCUUACCAGGUCUUGACAUCCUAUGACAACCCUAGAGAUAGGGCUUCCCCUUCGGGGGCAGAGUGACAGGUGGUGCAUGGUUGUCGUCAGCUCGUGUCGUGAGAUGUUGGGUUAAGUCCCGCAACGAGCGCAACCCUUGAUUUUAGUUGCCAGCAUUCAGUUGGGCACUCUAAGGUGACUGCCGGUGACAAACCGGAGGAAGGGGGGGAAGACGUCAAAUCAUCAUGCCCCUUAUGACGUGGGCUACACACGUGCUACAAUGGGCAGAACAAAGGGCAGAGAAGCCGCGAGGGUAAGCCAAUCCCACAAAUCUGUUCUCAGUU
rnacentral:rRNA from 1 species